CACAUCACCAUCAAAAAUAAAUAUCCACUAACACUUAUUCCUUAACUUAUGGAACGUCUUCAUUCUGUACACAUAUACUCCAAACUUGACUUACAAGAAGGUGUUCCUACAACCUACUCAGAGGGGAGGAUGAUGAAUGGAAAAUGGCAUUUCGUACCUGGUACGAUCAUUUUGAAUAUUUGACCAUGUCCUACGCACUAUGUAACACCCCUGCCUCCUUUCA